CUGCUUUGGCAGCAUGCAUAGUAAAAUUAGAACAAUACAGAGAAGAUUAGCAUGACCGGUGAGCAAGAUGACAUGCAAAUUCGUGAAGCGUUCCCUAUUUUU
ensembl:snRNA U6 U6 spliceosomal RNA